CGAUCGGCAAUGACAAAGAGUAGUAGCUGCAGUGGAAGCUAAAGAGAGCUGAUGGUUGGUGCAAAUCAGUGUGGAAACAGCAGUGAAUGGACUUUCGAGCCUCCAAACCGAACCUUUUUAAGCAGUAGGCUUUGGCGAACGGUCUCAUCGUUACAAGGGACAGAUAUUCAAACGGUUUUAGUUUUGAUAUCUGUUAAGUGAGCUGAUGUAUCAGCUAAUGAAGGUGGCACCACGGGUCUCUCGUCCUUUUU
rnacentral:ncRNA from 1 species